AAGUCGUAACAAGGUCUCCGUAGGUGAACCUGCGGAGGGAUCAUUAACACGUUUUUAUUAACGUACCCACCAAACAAAAGGAAACUGUAGAGGCGAUUAGUGCUUGCACUGUCAAAUCUUAGCUUUGCUCCCUAUAUAGUCGAAAACACUAUGUAGGCUAUUCUUUUUUUAACCCCUUUCCAACUAGAUUUUGACUUGUCAAGAUCGACUAACUUGCCCUGUAUCUAUAAGUGAGUAUUGGAAUUAAUUUAAUUAUUCUUUCCUUUUCUCCCUUCUAGCUUGAUAUUUCAAUGCAAAGCACAACUCUUAGCAACGGAUAUCUUGGUUCUC
rnacentral:misc_RNA from 1 species